rnacentral:rRNA from 1 species
UAGGGAAUCUUCCACAAUGGACGCAAGUCUGAUGGAGCAACGCCGCGUGAGUGAAGAAGGUCUUCGGNUCGUAAAACUCUGUUGUUAGAGAAGAACACGAGUGAGAGUAACUGUUCAUUCGAUGACGGUAUCUAACCAGCAAGUCACGGCUAACUACGUGCCAG